CCUACGGGGGGCAGCAGUGGGGAAUAUUGGACAAUGGGGGCAACCCUGAUCCAACCAUGCCGCGUGUGUGAAGAAGGCCCUCGGGUUGUAAAGCACUUUCAGUGAGGAAGAACGCCUGGUGGUUAAUACCCAUCAGGAAAGACAUCACUCACAGAAGAAGCACCGGCUAACUCCGUGCCAGCAGCCGCGGUAAUACGGAGGGUGCGAGCGUUAAUCGGAAUUACUGGGCGUAAAGCGCGCGUAGGUGGCUUGAUAAGCCGGUUGUGAAAGCCCCGGGCUCAACCUGGGAACGGCAUCCGGAACUGUCAAGCUAGAGUGCAGGAGAGGAAGGUAGAAUUCCCGGUGUAGCGGUGAAAUGCGUAGAGAUCGGGAGGAAUACCAGUGGCGAAGGCGGCCUUCUGGACUGACACUGACACUGAGGUGCGAAAGCGUGGGUAGCAAACAGGAUUAGAUACCCUGGUAGUC
rnacentral:rRNA from 1 species